GUGUGGUUAAGACAUGGAUGAUAUUCAGUAGUUAUGUAGACUGUGCACCCUCAGGUUGGUUAAGACAUGGAUGAUAUUCAGUAGUUAUGUAGACUGUGCACCCUCAGGUUGGUUAAGACAUGGAUGAUAUUCAGUAGUUAUGUAGACUGCGCACCCUCA